CGGGAGCAGACCCAGGGCCUCCUCUGACCUUAUGUGAGAUCCCGGGGCAGGCCGCUUCGGUGUUCUGGGUUUGUUCCUCCUCCUCGGCUGGAAGAUUAGGCGCCUCCAGAAGGCUGGCUUCACGGUUGUACGGGGUCUUUGCCGUCCCUCAGAGCUCCAUGGUUUGGCUGUUUUUUGCUUGGCUUGUUUGUUUUUAAUAUAUAUUUACUUGGCCGCCCUGGGUCUUAGUUGCGGCCAUAGAUCUUCUGUCUUCGCUGUGGCGUGUGCGAUCUGGUUCCUGACCAGGGAGAGAACCCGGCGCCCUGCGCUGGGAAAAUUCUUGACGAUAUUUGAGUAAAGAGCCUGGCAUUUUCACUUCGCGCCAAGCCCUGCAAAUUAUUCAGCUGGUCCUGUGGGCCAGGUCAGUGGCUCCCCAGGAUCCCUGAGGCUGUUCUAUGGACUAAGGGACCCAAAGCCUACAGGUGUGGAAACAGUGGGUUCACUGUGAACAGUAUGGAAACAGCUGUGUUAAAAAAAAAUCUCCAAGUCUUUAGUGUGCCGAUGUGCUUUGUAGCCGUCCAGGAAAGGGGUGUGAGAGUCGUCUCCAAACUUCCUUGGCCACAAAACCCCUUUCUUUGUUCAAAAGCGUGUAGUAUAACAAGUAUCACAUAGACUGAUGCUGGGGGAUGAUGGCCUUGCUGUUUGCUGAGGUGUCUGUGAACUCUGCGACCUUUACCUUUUAUUACAGCGAGUUUAUGUGCAGAGUGGAAUUGGGGGGCGGGAAGGAAAGCCGCAGUUAAGAGUGAGGAUGGUGCUACUCGCUGACCCAGGACUCUGCUACAAGGAAGACUUAGGCUCCUCCAGGCUCAAGCAAGCCCACACGGACCCCCUGGACCCCCGUUUUCCUCCUCUGAAUCUUCGCUUAUGUUGCUUUGUCUCCUUACACGCUCUGUGCUACUUCAAUCCACUGAUUCUUGUCGUUUCUUUUUCUAAAAUGUAUUCCAAAUUUAUCUACCCAUCUCCCAGCUUCACCCUGCUAUAAAGCACGGUGCCCCAAAGAGACUGCCACUGCAGUCUGCUUACCCCCCGAGCUCCAGCCCAUUCUCCACGCGGUGCUCCGUCCCGGCUUUCUUUUCAAAGUGUAAACUGGCUUCACACCACCGCUUGGCUUGAAGCCCUUCAAAAGUCUUUCUACAGUUGGGAGAAAAUCCAGAUUCCUUCUCAUGAUCAAUGCCUUGCAAGCCCACCUACUUCUCCAGCUCCUUCUCAAGCUGCCUGGCGCUUGAGUCCUUCUUGAUAAUCCCCAAUUUUCUCUUUAAGAACUUUUCACUUGGGCCCACAGGAUUUUGUUCAUUCCAAUCCCCACUUUUCAAAUGGCUGGUUCUUCCUCGUGCCUCAGAUCUCCACUGAAACUCUCGAAGACGUCCCCUGCCUUUUGCCAAAGCAGGACCCUGCCCUGCCCCCAGCGCCACCCAGCCUGGUGAUGCAGUCAGCGCCUUCUGCUCUUCAGUCCCCAUAUCUGUAGCAAGCUGGCUUCCACGACGAAGUGCUACAGACUAGGUGGUAAACCGCAGAGCUGUACUUGCUCGUGGCUCUGGAGGCCGCUGGGACGGCUCCUCCGGGGCUGUGAAUGGACGGUCUGUCCCGGCUUCCUUCUUUGACUGGUAGCUGGCCGCCCUCUCCUGUGUCUUUGCCGCCCCCCCAUCUCUCUGGACCUGUCUCCAGGGCCCCCGUCACGUUGGAGUAGGGCCCACCCUGUGUCCUCGCCUUACCUUGAUUUCUCCUGUAAACAUCCAGUCUCCAAUUACGGUCACCUUCUGAGGCACCGGCGGUUAGGACUUGAACGUGUGAAUUUGAGGUGGGGCUGGGGGAUAUUUCUCAACUGAAUUUCAUGACAGUUCUGAAAUUUGAAAGUGUCUGCCAAACGCUAUGCUCCUACCUCAGCAAAAGAGGGGCCAGAUGAUAUUAAGAUGGUGACGUCUGCAUCCCUGACAGUCAGUUCUGGACCAAGGUUUGGGAACUAGGUUACUUGGAUACAGAAUGUUUCUAGCAGGAGCUCACCUAAGGUCCAGGAUGUACUGGAAACGGUACGAUUAAUUGCUCCGUGUAACCGUGAUGUGACCAUUCACCUGUGGGCCAGGUGAAGCCAGUGGAAGAGGCCCAUCAAGUCAUGCAUUUGCUGGAGAAUUAGCCCCAGGACAGCCUGACUUCAGUUUUCAGGGAAGGUAGCUUCUGGGUCAUAAUCUGUGCACCUUCUGUAUCCGACGCAAUACCCAUGUUCUUUCAUUAUAAAUGGGCAGGAGAGCUCAAAAGAAAAUGAGAACUGAAGAACAAACAGACAAACCCGAGGCUCGCAGAGGCUUGUAUGUGUGUGUACAGGAAUACUGGCUGACGGUGAGGCAUCUUUGUCACGGGGACAGCCGUCAUGUAAAAUAGCUUGUCUCUAAGGUUUUCUUUAACCGACUUAUUUUAAACUGAGUUCUAUAAGCAUGAUGUCUUUUUGCAUUUCUUUUCUAAUUAUAAGCUAUAGAAAAUAAUACAUACAUUGGUUUUGCUGUUGAUGAAAGCUUAUUUUUAAAAGACAAUAAUGAAGAAGGAGAUUCAUAGGGCUAAAUGGCCAUCUGCCCUGACAUUCAGCACCAUCCAGGCAAACACAGCAGAAGGCUAGAAGUCGAAUGCAACGAGUUCCAGGAGGUUAGUAUUUCCGAGACUGCUCCCCAGCUGUUCGUUUCCUCGCUGCUGUAAGCCCCUGAUAGUUCCUUCAGUGGCACGGUGGCACUACGGCCAUUUAUGUGAUGAAAUAGCGGAAUUCAUCGGAAUGGAGACACACAGUCCUCGAGUGGAGACGCAAGCUGAUAAUGGGGAGAGCACAUUUUUCCACAUUUUCCACAGAGGCACAUUUUCCACUGGCUGGGUGUGGGUACAGCAGAAUGUCAGAAUGUGUUUAGUAGAGGGUUUUAGUCCUCUUUCAGCACUUGAGCAGCUCACUUCAUGUAAAGACAGGACUGGGCCCUUUAAGAUCUUCCCUGAGCCUAACGAAUGGAUUUGAACAGGCUUAUAAAAAUGGCUGCAAAUAUUUUUCUUUGCCUGUUUCAGAUCAUGCUAAUCAGAAAGGCUCUUUGAAAACAAUAUUUUUAUCUGUAGCUCAAAUUCAUCCAUACCCAUUAGCUGCUCAAUUAGGCGAAACAGACUUUUAGUUGCAUGCCAGGGGCUUAAUUUAAUUUGCCUGGGAUAAGCAGUUGGCCAUAACUGUGAAACCCUGUGUUUUUUUAGAAAUUAAACCAGAGUAGUGAAGCAAAAGCUCUUGACAUGCCGUGUGGAAGCUGAAGUCCGCCGUCGUUUAGAUUGUGUGGAAAUUCAAAGCG
ensembl:lncRNA